rnacentral:misc_RNA from 1 species
CUGAUCCCGUCACUGGCUCAGGAGCAGCGUCGCCUCCGGCCGCUGUUUUUGCCCCAACCCGUGGAACGGAUGGAGCUGGUGGUGGUGCAGCUCCUCCUCCUCCGCCUCCGCAUCCACUUCCCGCGGCGCGACCCGUGCUGUCGGCUCCGGGCUCUGUAUCAGAUUCUCCUUGUCGCCGUCGUCACCGUCCUUGUGCUUCCACCACCGCUCCUCGAACUGCGAGUGGCUCCGCCCGAAUCGGCCGCCGUCGUCGUGCCUCUGCCGCUCCUCGCGCUUGGAGCUGCUCCGGCCGUCGCCGCGGUUCCCGUCGUCACCGGGUGGCUGCGACUGCGACACGGCGUGGUGGGAGGCGCCUGCGCUGAGGCUGAAGCUGCCGAAGCCCGUG